UUAGCUUAAAUUUGAUCCAAUAUAGCCUAAUCAUAAAUCCCAAAAUCCCUAAUUUCUCUCUUCUUAGAGAAACCACCGCACCUAACCUCCACUACAGAAAAUCACCGCCCCCCAUCUCCUCUGUCUUAUUUGUCGUCUGUAACCACAAGACAACCAGUGCCGCUCGAUGUUCUUCUCGUGUCCUCAUCCUUUUGCCACUACUAGAAAUCACUGAGCGUUGAGUGUCCAUCUCCAGCGAACCUCCUAUCUUCCCUAACCUCGACAGCUCUCCAGCAAGCCACUCAAGUGCAAUUACCCCUUUUCAUCUCCCCCUUUCGUCUAUGUAUUUUUAUUCCAGUACUUACCACUAUCGAUGCCUUAGUCUUAACUCGCUUCAAUUAUCAGAGGUGGCGUCGCCUUCCUCUUUUGUUCACUUCGCUGGUGAGACAAAGAAACCACCAAAAACCCCAUUGCCUCCCUCUCUUCCUUCUGUCCCUAUCAGUAGUUAAAUAUUCUUCGAUUGUUCUUCUCUGGUGUUAUGUGUAAAGUUCCGAAUAACUUUGAAAUGUUGAUUGUUUCUGUUAUUUUAGCCAGGUCCAUCAUUUCGAGUUAUGACCGAUUCUCGAGAAUUCACAUACAGGUUCAGGCUCAAGUUUAGGCCUUUGUUAGUGAUGAUAAUACGUUUACUACUUGCUCGACUUAGUUUUUUAUUGGACAGUGUUAUGUUCCUAAUAUUUAUACACUAGUGUAUCAGUUUUGUUUCUCUAUUUAUAUAGAAACCAAAUUUCUUGCUUACUCAAACAUUAUGUAACUAUUCUCCUAUUCAUAGUAACCUGAGAUCUUCUAGCUUGUUUGA